UGUCAGGGACGAAAAGGGAUGCGAUAACACCGCAUUCCGCUGACGGUACCUGAAGAAUAAGCACCGGCUAACUACGUGCCAGCAGCCGCGGUAAUACGUAGGGUGCAAGCGUUAAUCGGAAUUACUGGGCGUAAAGCGUGCGCAGGCGGUUCUGUAAGAUAGAUGUGAAAUACCCGGGCUCAACCUGGGAAUUGCAUAUAUGACUGCAGGACUUGAGUUUGUCAGAGGAGGGUGGAAUUCCACGUGUAGCAGUGAAAUGCGUAGAUAUGUGGAAGAACACCGAUGGCGAAGGCAGCCCUCUGGGACAUGACUGACGCUCAUGCACGAAAGCGUGGGGAGCAAACAGGAUUAGAUACCCUGGUAGUCCACGCCCUAAACGAUGUCUACUAGUUGUUGGGGACGAUAGUCCUUGGUAACGCAGCUAACGCGUGAAGUAGACCGCCUGGGGAGUACGGUCGCAAGAUUACAACUCAAAGGAAUUGACGGA
rnacentral:rRNA from 1 species